rnacentral:rRNA from 1 species
CACGUAGGCGGGUAUUUAAGUCAGGUGUGAAAGACCGCAGCCCAACUGCGGGGUUGCACUUGAAACUGGAUAUCUUGAGGGCAGGAGAGGUCAGUGGAAUUCCUGGUGUAGCGGUGAAAUGCGUAGAUAUCAGGAGGAACACCAGUGGCGAAGGCGGCUGACUGGACUGACCCUGACGCUGAGGUGCGAAAGCGUGGGGAGCAAACAG